CCUGUUUUCUUUCGUCGUCGUGGGUGGGAAUUGUCGCCUAAGUGGUUCCGGGUUGGUGGAUGACCUUGAGCCCUCAGGAACGAGAUGGCGGUUCUCUGGAGGCUGAGUGCCGUUUGCGGUGCCCUAGGAGGCCGAGCUCUGUUGCUUCGAACUCCAGUGGUCAGACCUGCUCAUAUCUCAGCAUUUCUUCAGGACCGACCUAUCCCAGAAUGGUGUGGAGUGCAGCACAUACACUUGUCACCGAGCCACCAUUGCUGGAGUGCAGUGGUGCGAUCUCGGCUCACUGCAACCUCCACCUUCUGAGUUCAAGCAAUUCUCCUGCCCCUGCCUCCCGACUAGCUGGGAUUACAGGCGCCCACCACCAUGCCCAGCUAAGUUUUGUACUUUUAGUAGAGACGGGUUUCACCGUGUUGGCCGGGCUGGUCUCAAACUCCUGACCUCCUCAAACUCCUGACCUCAGGUGAUCUGCCCACCUCAGCCUCCCAAAGUGCUGGGAUUGCAGGCGUGAGCCACCACGCCUGGACCACUAACUUACAUUCAUAAGCUGGCUCCAAGGCUGCAUCUCUCCACUGGACUAGCGAGAGGGUUGUCAGUGUUUUGCUCCUGGGUCUGCUUCCGGCUGCUUAUUUGAAUCCUUGCUCUGCGAUGGACUAUUCCCUGGCUGCAGCCCUCACUCUUCAUGGUCACUGGCAAGUAUAGCAAUUCCAAAUAUAGUUGUCUGCUCAGU
rnacentral:lncRNA from 1 species